CCUACGGGGGGCAGCAGUGGGGAAUAUUGGGCAAUGGGCGCAAGCCUGACCCAGCAACGCCGCGUGAAGGAAGAAGGCUUUCGGGUUGUAAACUUCUUUUCUCAGGGACGAAGCAAGUGACGGUACCUGAGGAAUAAGCCACGGCUAACUACGUGCCAGCAGCCGCGGUAAUACGUAGGUGGCAAGCGUUAUCCGGAUUUACUGGGUGUAAAGGGAGUGUAGGCGGGGACGCAAGUCAGAUGUGAAACCCACGGGCUCAACCUGUGGCCUGCAUUUGAAACUGUGGUACUUGAUUGCUGGAGAGGCAGACGGAAUUCCUAGUGUAGCGGUGAAAUGCGUAGAUAUUAGGAGGAACACCAGUGGCGAAGGCGGUCUGCUGGACAGCAACUGACGCUGAGGCGCGAAAGCGUGGGGAGCAAACAGGAUUAGAUACCCUAGUAGUC
rnacentral:rRNA from 1 species